GCCGGGGUGGCGAAACAGGUAGACGCACAGGACUUAAAAUCCUGGGGGCCGAAAGGUCCAUGCCGGUUCAAAUCCGGCCCUCGGCA
rnacentral:tRNA from 1 species